GACGAACGCUGGCGGCGUGCCUAAUACAUGCAAGUAGAACGCUGAAGGAGCAGCUUGCUUCUCUGGAUGAGUUGCGAACGGGUGAGUAACGCGUAGGUAACCUGCCUGGUAGCGGGGGAUAACUAUUGGAAACGAUAGCUAAUACCGCAUAAUAGCAGUUGUUGCAUGAUAACUGUUUGAAAGGUGCAAUUGCACCACUACCAGAUGGACCUGCGUUGUAUUAGCUAGUUGGUGGGGUAACGGCUCACCAAGGCGACGAUACAUAGCCGACCUGAGAGGGUGAUCGGCCACACUGGGACUGAGACACGGCCCAGACUCCUACGGGAGGCAGCAGUAGGGAAUCUUCGGCAAUGGACGGAAGUCUGACCGAGCAACGCCGCGUGAGUGAAGAAGGUUUUCGGAUCGUAAAGCUCUGUUGUAAGAGAAGAACGAGUGUGAGAGUGGAAAGUUCACACUGUGACGGUAUCUUACCAGAAAGGGACGGCUAACUACGUG
rnacentral:rRNA from 1 species